rnacentral:rRNA from 1 species
GGGUAAUGGCCUACCAAGGCUACGACGGGUAGGGGACGUGAGAGCGUGACCCCCCAGAACGGGACUGAGACACGGCCCGUACACCUACGGGUGGCAGCAACCGGGAAUCGUGCGCAAUGGACGAAAGUCUGACGCCGCGACGCCGCGUGAGGGAUGAAGGCCUUCGGGUUGUAAACCUCUUUUGUUUCGUCGGAGACGACGAGAAGAAUAAGCACCUGCUAACUCUGUGCCAGCAGCCGCGGUAAUACAGAGGGUGCAAGCGUUAUCCGGAUUUAUUGGGCGUAAAGCGUUUCGUAGGCGGUAAGGUAAGUUACACUUCAAAGGCCAGGGCUUAACCUUGGAAAGGGGUGUAAUACUGUCUUACUUGAAAUGUUUCGGGGUUAUCGGAACUCUCGGUGUAGGGGUGAAAUCCGUUGAUAUCGAGAGGAACACCAAGGGCGAAGGCAGAUAACUAGGAACCUUUUGACGCUGAGGAACGACAGCUAGGGGAGCGAAUGGGAUUAGAGACCCCAGUAGUCCUAGCCGUAAACUUUGCUCGCUAGUCCCCUCGGUUUUUCCGAGAGGGCGUAAGCUAACGCGUUAAGCGAGCCGCCUGGGGAGUACGGCCGCAAGGCUAAAACUCAAAGGAAUUGACGGGAACCUGCACAACCAGUGGAGCAUGUGGUUUAAUUCGAGACGAACCGAAGAACCUUACCAGGCUUUGACAUGCUACCGUUUUAACUUUCCAGAAAUGGAGAGCUAUCCGUAAGGAUGGUAGCACAGGUGUUGCAUGGCCGUCGUCAGCUCGUGCCGUGGGGUGUUCCCUUCAGUGGGGUAACGAGCGCAACCCCUGCCAAAUGUUGAAUAUUCAUUUGGGACUGUCCGAUUUUUUAUCAGACGGAAGUGGGGACGACGUCAGGUCAGCAUGGCCCUUAUAGCCUGGGCGACACACAUGCUACAAUGGAGCCGACAAUGGGUUUUGCCAAGCCGUAAGGCGGAGCUAAUCCCAUCAAACGGCUUCUCAGUGGGGAUUGAGGGCUGCAACUCGCCCUCAUGAACGCGGAAUUGGUAGUAAUCGCGGAUCAGCUAUGCCGCGGUGAAUACGUUCUCAGGUUUUGUACAAAUCAAAUUGCGCCUUCCGGUUGCAAUUUCUAUCCGGUGUAAUUCCGGUCAAGGAAAGAUAAAUUCUUUGAAGCGAAAUAACAUCCUUUGACAGCGAUGUCAGAGAGAAAAGGGUUAAAGUAGCAAUUUUCAGCUUGAAGUUUAAACGGUUCUAUGACUUUUGCGACCAUUCGUACAGAUUGGGAAGCAUUUAUCAUACAAAGCAUAGAAUAAUUGGGCUCAAGAUGAAAAUAAAAUGAAAUUACAAUCACGAAGGGAGAUCUGAUAUUGACCUUUUAUCAAAGGAAAGUUUUGGUGCGAACCAACUCUUUGUAAAUAUCAGAAGUCUGCUGUAUUCGUAGUACUUUUAAACUCUUAAAAGGAAGGAAUACUUUCUAUUUUAAUUAAUAGGACGUCCGCCAAGGUACGGGAAAACCGUGCGCCUGGUGGGGAGAGAAGCAUAAAGAGUAAUCUUAGUGACUAUCUCAGAACACCGCCCGUCAAGUUAGUGAAGUUGGGGGCACCUGAACCUCGAUUGUAUCGGGGGAGGGUGACACCAGCGACAAGAAUUAAGUCGUAACAAGGUAUCCGUACUGGAAGGUGCGGAUGGAUCACCUCCUU